rnacentral:lncRNA from 1 species
GGCCGCAGCUGCGAGGAGGGAGCGGAGGGCCAGCCCGGCUGAGCAGGCGCCAGACACUCUGUCUGUCCAGCCGUCCGGUGGCCGGCCUGUGGCUCCUGCCCCCAGCGCCGCCCCCCUGCCGCCCGGUCUGGGGGCCUGGGGUCUGGGCCCGGGGCUGCCGUGGCUGCCUUGCUCGAAUCCGGCGCCCCGUCCUUCGGGAGGCGAGCCCUGUACCCCCGCCCCCCCCUGGGCUCCUGCAGGAGCGGACAGGCUGUCCUGUCCGUGUGUCUGUGUCUGUGUGUCCUGGGUGGCGCCUCCCGACCUCCCUCCUGUGGGCCCGGUGCCCGUGCCCAGCGGCCAGGGAAGGGUGCAGAGCGGAGCAGACCCCCACGUGUGCCCCAUGCACGUCCUUUCUGCUGCCCGAGCUUGGUGACAGGCGGCUUUGGGGGCCCUGGCACUUGGGGCGCCACCUGGGCUGGGGGCGGGUCUGUGUUCCUGGGGACCCAGGGACCCACCCCUUCUCGUUCGCUUGCUGUGAGCAUCUGCAGUGCCCCCAGUUCUGUCCCAGCAGACGGGGAACAAACAGACCCAAGCCCUGGCCACGUGAGGACAGUUCCCCUCUGGGGCCGAGGGGUCAGGAGGUGCAGCAGCGGGAGAAGGUGGGGCGCCAGGUGCGGCGUGUGCUCCGCGGGUGUGGGAGAGGGUCGGGCUGUGGGGCCUCCGGCCUGUGGCUUCGCGAGGUGACCUUUGAGCCAAGCCCAGAAGGGAGCCUGUGGAAGAGCUGGGGCUGCGCAGGAAGGGUUGCGCCAGCGGAGCACGUGCAAAGGCCCGGGCUCACAGCCCGAGGAACCACAUGCUUCCACUGGAGGCCGACGGGAAGGAUCCAGGGGUACGGGCUGGAGGCUCUGCUCCCCACUGGCCACGUCUGCACGCGCUCCCGUGUGGUGCAGCCCCGGGCAGCAGCCGUGGCCGAGCCCAGCAACUCGGGAUGCCCAGUUGUGGUGCUUGGAGAUCUUCGGCACGACGGCGAGUUUGCUCCGAGAAAUAAAUCCUCAGAUCAGCUCACCCCGUCUGUCUGAGGCCUGGCCGGGCGGCCUCCCUCCCGGGCAGCACCCUGUGGGCGACGGGGGCCAGCGCAAGUCCCCGCCGUGUUCUCCGGGCUUCUGGCUGGCUCCUGUUUGACGGGACCCCAGCCAGCUGCUGGUCUUGCCCAGAGCAGGGUGACCCUGGUGUGUGGCUCCAGCUUCCCAAGUGUCCCCAGACCCUGGAGGCUGCACACACGUUCAGGCCACGGGAUUCUGGCCCUAAAGACCUGCUUGGUUGGGGUGGGUCUGAGCUAUGGCCCCAGCUCACGGUGCCGGGCACAACCAGAGCUGGUGUGCAAACUGGCGGUGACAUGUGCAGCAUCACGGGGUGCACCCCUCCGACCCGGAAAGCCUUCACUUCGCUCUCAGGAGUUCCUGCUUUUCCUAGAAUGACUAAGGAACCUCACAAGUAACCACGCUGCCCUCUCCGCUUUGGCUGCUGGGAAGCUCCGUCGGAUCAGCACCGCCGAGAGCUCGCGGCCUGGCAGCCCAGGUGUCUGGUCCUCCCCUCUGCUGCCUGGUCUCACACCUGCCUGCAUGUCAGUGGCUGUGGGUCCAGGACACAGACAUCCGUCUCCUGCCGUGUACCGCGCCCAGCCCCACUGUAGGGCACACGGGCGACACCUGGAAGGGGGCGGGGUCUGGAGGGCACGCUCCUCUGUCCCGGCAGCCAGGCCACCCUCACCUGGGCGCAGCGGGCAUCCGCAGGAGCUCCAGCAGCCGAGCUGACCACUGACGUGCUCGCGCCCCGUUCUCUGCUCUUCACCACCUGCCGCAGGGGCAGCAGCCCCGUGAGCGGACGACACGACCACCUUCCUUUCACAGAUGGGGAGACUGAGGCACAACGGUCAGCGGUUGGUUUGAAGUGCAGAGCGCGGGAUUCGCACCGGCAGCUGCCCCGGGGCGUCUCGGGCUCCUCUGGCACCUUCGGAACCGGCCCUGGCCUCUUCCAGACCCUGCAUCCGGCUGCAGCCCCCUCCCCGCUCGGGGCGCA